rnacentral:rRNA from 1 species
UACUCCUACGGGAGGCAGCAGUGGGGAAUAUUGCACAAUGGGCGGAAGCCUGAUGCAGCAACGCCGCGUGCGGGAUGACGGCCUUCGGGUUGUAAACCGCUUUCGCCUGUGACGAAGCGUGAGUGACGGUAAUGGGUAAAGAAGCACCGGCUAACUACGUGCCAGCAGCCGCGGUGAUACGUAGGGUGCGAGCGUUGUCCGGAUUUAUUGGGCGUAAAGGGCUCGUAGGUGGUUGAUCGCGUCGGAAGUGUAAUCUUGGGGCUUAACCCUGAGCGUGCUUUCGAUACGGGUUGACUUGAGGAAGGUAGGGGAGAAUGGAAUUCCUGGUGGAGCGGUGGAAUGCGCAGAUAUCAGGAGGAACACCAGUGGCGAAGGCGGUUCUCUGGGCCUUUCCUGACGCUGAGGAGCGAAAGCGUGGGGAGCGAACAGGCUUAGAUACCCUGGUAGUCCACGCUGUAAACGGUGGGUACUAGGUGUGGGGUCCAUUCCACGGGUUCCGUGCCGUAGCUAACGCUUUAAGUACCCCGCCUGGGGAGUACGGCCGCAAGGCUAAAACUCAAAGGAAUUGACGGGGCCCCGCACAAGCGGUGGAGCAUGA